rnacentral:lncRNA from 1 species
UGGCACGAGAAAUUUUUUUGCUUGAAGCAGCAUCGACUCUAUCAUGGGCACUCAAGCAGUAGGCCUUCCUUCUCUGGACAAAGACCUAGAGGGGUAAAUAUUGUCGCUGUCCAGCAUGAACGAAAGGACAUACUAUACAUUUUGCACAACAUAUGGCACCUGUAAACAAUAAAUUUGCACACCAUCAUGACAUAUAGGAAUGCCUGCUGG